GAUUCUCAUCAAUGCCCU
rnacentral:sRNA from 1 species